AUUGAACGCUGGCUGCAGGCUUAACACAUGCAAGUCGAGCGAGCGGCGGCCGGGUGAGUAAUGUCUGGGAAACUGCCUGAUGGAGGGGGAUAACUACUGGAAACGGUAGCUAAUACUGCAUACCAUCAGAUGUGCCCCGAUGGGAUUAGCUAGUAGGUGGGGUAAUGGCUCACCUAGGCGACGAUCCCUAGCUGGUCUGAGAGGAUGACCAGCCAGACUGGAACUGAGCCACGGUCCAGACUCCUACGGGAGGCAGCAGUGGGGAAUAUGGAACAAUGGGCGCAAGCCUGAUGAAGCCAUGCCGCGUGUGUGAAGAAGGCUUUCGGGUUGUAAAGCAAGUUCAGCGAGGAGGCGUUACUCGCAGAAGAAGCACCGGCUAACUCCGUGCCAGCCGCCGCGAUAAUAC
rnacentral:rRNA from 1 species